rnacentral:tRNA from 1 species
UCUUGGAUGGUCUAGGGGUUAGGAUUUUGUGCUUUCACCGCAGUGGCCCGGGUUCAAUCUCUGGUCUGGGAA